rnacentral:lncRNA from 1 species
ACCUGGCACCCCCACCCCACCAGGCACAGAGGACCAGGCAGGACACUCUCGGCACACCGAGCGCGUGACCCUUCCCUUAUAAAGGGAGCUGAUGAUGGCCUUCGCCCUCUGCUCUAGGGCCUUGGACCGUACAACACAGUUUAUGCCAACAAUGUGAUCGAGGGUGGGGCCGUCAGGCCUGUAUCCAUCUGACUUCAGGAGGGGCUGGAGACUGAGUAACUGAGGUCAGCCAUGCUGCGGGGGCUCAAGCCUAGGAUGACCAACUCCCAACAAAAACCAUGGACACCAAGGCCCAGGUGAGCUUCCGUGGCUGGCAGGGCUCUCUGCUGCCUCACUUACUGUUGGGGGAGAAUUAAGCACUGCCUGUAGGAGUCCACCAGAAAAGAGAGCUGCAGCCUUGGCCUGGUCAUUCUGGACUCUGGUCCCUGUGCCUUUCAUCUUUGCUGACUUUAAUCUGUA